rnacentral:lncRNA from 1 species
AUUUCAAUGGAAAGCCCUGCUAGAGGUUGUGUUGCUUUGCUUACAAUGUAUCAUAUAACAAGUUGCACUAUUUGUGAAAAUAAAGUAAGUAACUUCGAGCUAUUUACAGGCCCUUCAAAAUUGAGAAAAAUUUCCUCCUUGAAAUUGCAGUAAUAUGUUUACACUUUAAAAACAUUUACAUGCAUUAUUAAUAUUUAUUAUUGAUAUAGAAAAUUACUGUCGCAUUAUAAUGGAUUUUGACAUUAAAAUUUGUCAAAAAGUAAUUUUGAGUUUCUGUAUAAUUUUUUUUUCUUUUUCUUUUCCAUAUAUUUCUUGGUUUUCAAGUCUAGUGUUUAUAUUUAUCAUCAUAGAUGUUUUUUGUCACCUGCCUGGAUAAUUUUUUUUAUGUAUUUGAACGCCAAAACCUGGGAUUACCCUUAUCCACCUCCAGAAUCGGAUCUGGUAUUGUAGUUGUCUUUAUUUCCAGCAUCCAUUGUUUUUAAAUGUUGUUUUUGUCAGUCACAUACGAUUUUACUCGAUUUUACACAUUACUUGUCAGCCAUUUUCAGUAUAAAGCUGGCGGUUGAACAAAAUAAACAUUGCUGUCUUGAAUAAUAAACAGGAAAAUAAGUUUUGAGAUUGUUUUUUUUGAAAUUUUGGUAAAACGUUUUGCAAAGUUAACUUUUAUUUUCUUUCAAGUCAAUGUCCGUCAGGCGUAGCUUGUAACCAUGACGAAAGUCCAAUUGCAAAAGUGGAAGAUCGCAGACCUCGGACCACCACUAAUACGAACCCCUGCUUUUGUUUAUAUUUCUACAACUAAGUUAUCACCUUUGUUGAUGGAUUGUUAGUCUUUGAGAGUAUCUGCAUGGUAGGUAGUUUAUCAUUGCAGUAAAGCUUAAAUUUCAACCUUUUAUUUAGGCCAAAUAAAAUAAAACAUGUGUUUCCACUAACUCUAACUACCUUAACACUUUUUACGCCAUUUUGGAACAAGUACUGUUAAAGUCAGACUGAUUCCCUUGUUGUAACCAGCUAUCAAAUGUUUGUAAAAUAAAAUGAUAUUUCCCACCUACAUAUCCUACUUUUUUUUUUAUUUCAGCACAUUUGUGGAAACCCAAGUAUUAUUUUUUAAGGCUUAUUUUAAUUUUCAGUUUAUAAACUGGUUAUUUUGCACUAUUUUGAAACUCCUUUCAACACAGAUUGAUAAUUUGAUAUAUCGGUUUUAUUUACUGUUCAAUCCUAUCUGGUUUUGAAGAAAACAAAACUUUUCUACAAUUUGGGGUUUCCAGGAUACCAUGA